rnacentral:hammerhead_ribozyme from 1 species
AUCCAGCUGACGAGUCCCAUAUAGGACAAAACGCGCGUCAAACUGGAU